CGGGUGAGUAACACGUGGGUAACCUGCCUGUAAGACUGGGAUAACUCCGGGAAACCGGGGCUAAUACCGGAUGGUUGUUUGAACCGCAUGGUUCAAACAUAAAAGGUGGCUUCGGCUACCACUUACAGAUGGACCCGCGGCGCAUUAGCUAGUUGGUGAGGUAAUGGCUCACCAAGGCAACGAUGCGUAGCCGACCUGAGAGGGUGAUCGGCCACACUGGGACUGAGACACGGCCCAGACUCCUACGGGAGGCAGCAGUAGGGAAUCUUCCGCAAUGGACGAAAGUCUGACGGAGCAACGCCGCGUGAGUGAUGAAGGUUUUCGGAUCGUAAAGCUCUGUUGUUAGGGAAGAACAAGUACCGUUCGAAUAGGGCGGUACCUUGACGGUACCUAACCAGAAAGCCACGGCUAACUACGUGCCAGCAGCCGCGGUAAUACGUAGGUGGCAAGCGUUGUCCGGAAUUAUUGGGCGUAAAGGGCUCGCAGGCGGUUUCUUAAGUCUGAUGUGAAAGCCCCCGGCUCAACCGGGGAGGGUCAUUGGAAACUGGGGAACUUGAGUGCAGAAGAGGAGAGUGGAAUUCCACGUGUAGCGGUGAAAUGCGUAGAGAUGUGGAGGAACACCAGUGGCGAAGGCGACUCUCUGGUCUGUAACUGACGCUGAGGAGCGAAAGCGUGGGGAGCGAACAGGAUUAGAUACCCUGGUAGUCCACGCCGUAAACGAUGAGUGCUAAGUGUUAGGGGGUUUCCGCCCCUUAGUGCUGCAGCUAACGCAUUAAGCACUCCGCCUGGGGAGUACGGUCGCAAGACUGAAACUCAAAGGAAUUGACGGGGGCCCGCACAAGCGGUGGAGCAUGUGG
rnacentral:rRNA from 1 species